UACGUAGGUGGCGAGCGUUGUCCGGAUUUACUGGGCGUAAAGAGCGCGCAGGCGGUCGUACAAGUCGCGUGUGAAAGCCCCCGGCUCAACUGGGGAGGGUCACGCGAUACUGUUCGACUCGAAGGCAGGAGAGGGAAGUGGAAUUCCCGGUGUAGUGGUGAAAUGCGUAGAUAUCGGGAGGAACACCAGUGGCGAAGGCGACUACCUGGCCUGUUCUUGACGCUGAGGCGCGAAAGCUAGGGGAGCAAACGGGG
rnacentral:rRNA from 1 species